rnacentral:lncRNA from 1 species
AUGUCUGUAGAGAGGACUCAGAAGAGGAAAGCAAGCAAGAAGGUCUUAUGCAACAGGUCUCAGAGGAUCUAUUUGUGCAUCUGCAGAGCUGAGCCAGACAUCUCCAAGCUUUCCCAGCGGAGGGCAAUUGCUGGAUUAGCUCGGUGCUUUUUUUCUGGAAGGCUGAAAUCAUGCAAGCUGUCAAGUCUUCACAUGUUGUUGAGAAGUGGGACCUCAAGAAGCAAUGGUGCUAUGAGAAGAACUGGCAAUGCCGUGGUGUCCUGUACCAAGCCCUUACCAGAAACCCUACAGCUCUGCCACACUGAAGCCUGA